rnacentral:rRNA from 1 species
GACGAACGCUGGCGGCGUGCCUAAUACAUGCAAGUAGAACGCUGAAGAGAGGAGCUUGCUCUUCUUGGAUGAGUUGCGAACGGGUGAGUAACGCGUAGGUAACCUGCCUUGUAGCGGGGGAUAACUAUUGGAAACGAUAGCUAAUACCGCAUAACAAUGGAUGACACAUGUCAUUUAUUUGAAAGGGGCAAUUGUUCCACUACAAGAUGGACCUGCGUUGUAUUAGCUAGUAGGUGAGGUAAUGGCUCACCUAGGCGACGAUACAUAGCCGACCUGAAAGGGUGAUCGGCCACACUGGGACUGAGACACGGCCCAGACUCCUACGGGAGGCAGCAGUAGGGAAUCUUCGGCAAUGGGGGCAACCCUGACCGAGCAACGCCGCGUGAGUGAAGAAGGUUUUCGGAUCGUAAAGCUCUGUUGUAAGUCAAGAACGGGUGUGAGAGUGGAAAGUUCACACUGUGACGGUAGCUUACCAGAAAGGGACGGCUAACUACGUG